GACGAACGCUGGCGGCGUGCUUAAUACAUGCAAGUCAACUUGACUUUAGAUAACAAUAUCGAAAGUAGGGUGGCGCACGGUGCGUAACGCGUAGGUAAUCUGCCCUGAGGUCUGACAUAACCCGUCGAAAGGCGGGCUAACAUCAGAUGAUAUAUAAUCACGACAUCGUGGAAAUAUCAAAUCUUCGGAGCCUUGGGAUGAGCCUGCGUCUGAUUAGGUAGUUGGCGGAGUAAUAGCCCACCAAGCCUACGAUCAGUAGCUGGUCUGAGAGGAUGAUCAGCCACACUGGAACUGAGACACGGUCCAGACUCCUACGGGAGGCAGCAGUAAGGAAUAUUGCUCAAUGGGGGAAACCCUGAAGCAGCAACGCCGCGUGAAGGAUGAAAUACUUUGUAUGUGAACUUCUGUAAGAUGGGAAAAAUAUUCUCCUCGGGAGAAUUGAUUGUACCAUCAGAGUAAGCCCCGGCUAACUACGUGCCAGCAGCC
rnacentral:rRNA from 1 species